rnacentral:rRNA from 1 species
UACGUAGGGUGCGAGCGUUAAUCGGAAUUACUGGGCGUAAAGCGUGCGCAGGCGGUGAUGUAAGUCAGAUGUGAAAUCCCGGGGCUUAACCUGGGAACUGCGUUUGAAACUACAAGGCUAGAGUGUGGCAGAGGGGGGUGGAAUUCCACGUGUAGCAGUGAAAUGCGUAGAUAUGCGGAGGAACACCGAUGGCGAAGGCAAUCCCCUGGGCCUGUACUGACGCUCAUGCACGAAAGCGUGGGGAGCAAACAGG